UGCCCCGCGCUUCGGAAAGGCCGCGCCGCGGGGCUCGGCGGUUCGGGCGGACCGGGAAGCGCCGGGACGGCCCCAUAGAGGGCUGCUGGGGGCUGGGCACCUCCCGAUGGGGACGGGCCGACAGCCCCGGGGCCGUGCGCCCGAAGGAGGGAAGGCUGAGGGCUGAGCGGCGCUGACCCGCAGCUGAAGGGCGGGGGAUGGGGCCGAGUGCUCCCGGGUGCCGAGUGCUGCUGUAGGGGCUGCUGCUGGUCGGGAUGGCAGAGAUCCAGAGGCCCCUUCCACAACCGCGUCGUGGGGUCCUGGAGCCUCGAGUGGUUUGUGUGCAGUUCUGGGCCACUCAGUACAGAAAAGACACGAGUGCGUCCAGAGACAGGCGACAGAGCUGGGCAGAGUCUGGAAUGCAGUCCUGACGGGAAUGGCUGAGGGAACCGGGAUGGUUCGGUCUGAGGGAAGCCCCGAGAAGACCUCGUAGCUCCCUACAACUCCUGAAAGGAGAUCGGAGCGAGGAAGGGUCAGCCUCUGCUCCCCGGUAACAGCAAUAGGGCGAGAGGUGAUGGCCUCAGGUUGUACCAGGAGAUGUUAAAGCUGGGUACAAGGAAACAAUUCCUUCUCCACAGAGCAGUCAGGCAGUGGCACAGCUGCCCAGGGAGCGGGGGUCACCAUCCCUGGGGUGUCCCAGAGCCGUGGGGAUGUGGCACUGAGGGAUGUGGGCAUGGGGGGGUGGGUGGAGUCGGGCGUGGGGAUCUCAGAGGCCUUUCUCAACCUUGAUGAUUCUUUGAUUCUAUGAUUUCCUGGGAUUUCAGCUGUUGUUUUACUUUAGGACCGAGGCAGGUCCCAGCACAUAGAGCUGGGUGGCAGCUCUGUGCUGUAUUAACAUCAUUUACUUACUGCAGGUCCUUCCUCACUACUACAGUGAGGUUCAGUCCGGAUGGCCUGACCACUUGCGGUUGAUUGAUACAAGAACUGCUAGAGCUCCUGCCCAGAGAAAUGUGCCGUCUCUGGGAGCCUACCUUUGUAAAAGCAGGCAGUGCCUAAUAGGUGUGCAGAGACAGCUUCACACUUUUCAUUCCUGGUUGUUCCCGGUGGCCCCAGUGUGGCAUGGAGCCACACAUCUGUGGCUGCCUCUCAGUGAUCUCUGCUACAUCUUGUUCUGGAGCUGCGGCUUCUCAGGAUCCCUGCUGAUUUUUUACCAGGGCUGGCAGAAGCACUAGUGAGCAGUUAGCCCAGUUUUUAACAAAGUGGAGGCCAGAUUUCAAUGCUGCUGCCUCUGAGGAAUAGUUAGCGGAGCCCAUAGGGCAAGGGGCAGGAAACCUGCAGGGCUGGGAUGGAGGUUGUGCUUGAGCUUCACGGCGCAGGGCAUGCAGGCUUGGUUUUCCCUACUGAGCAUUUCCUUCUCAGAAGUUCUCCAAUCCUUUAGCUUUGCAAAAUAGCAGAUCUGCAUUCUCAAACUUCUAACAGUUAAAUGAAGUGCUAGGCCUAUGAGACUUGAAAGUGAGUUGCAUGGCCUACUACUGGAUUGCAUGAUUUCUGGAGACAUUUUCUGUAUCUUCUCUCUGAUUAUCCCUGUUGAUUAGCCCCUUGUUCUGUGAUAGCCAGGGAGCCCUGACAGAGCAUCUGCUGUGGUCUGUAAGGGCUCUCCAUUUCUCAUCCUAUUUGCCACGUGCUGGGCUUCCAGGGUUACAGCUGGCUGCCACAGCUGGCCAGUGUUGUUUUGCAGUGAGAAGGCACGCAGCAGUGAUACGCCAUGGUCCUCUCCUUUCCAAAGCUCCUGGCUGAACCCCUGGCUGCUCUGUAUGUUGCAGUGUACUGAACUCAUGUUUCCACCAGUGCUUGGGAUCUCCUUUUCCAUGCCAGACCAAAGCACCAGCAGAUCUAUGGCUGCGUCCUUCCCCACAGGGCUGUCUGUGCCCAGCUUGUAUCCUCAUGCAGAUGAUGCCAUGGAUGUGGGAUCCUGCUGACUGCAAGUCUCUGCUUUCCAGGCAUCAGCCUCCAGCCAUCAGCCUCCAGCCAUGCUUCUUGGCUGCCUCCCAGAAACUGCUUUUAUUGCUGUUCUUUGUGCUCACUGCUUAGUCAAUGUGCUUUACAGGCAGCAAGAGACGUGCUCCCUAUCAGACACAGAAAAACAACCUGCCGUGGGCAUGAGCAAUGGGCACAACUCCCCCCCAUCGCUGUCCCUGGGGCGUGCUCUGGCCUCCUGUCGGCAGCUAAAUGUCAGCAACAGGUCCUUUCUGAGGGGCCAUGGGAACCCAAUCCCUCUGCAUGGGUCAGAUGUAACCACGGGAGCUAAAUUGGAAGCUGCAGUAGUUGUGUAUGGCUAUCAGCUCUCUAGGUGGCAUUUAAAGGCCUUAAGCAACUGCAUGGGUUGGCUUUCAGAAGUUUUGCAAAGUCAGGGAUAUUUGGGAUGGGAGUAGUUUUAAUCUCAGACAAAUUAGGGGAUGUGGUCCUGCCUUUUCCUUUGAAAAGGAAACAAGAUCCCGAGGGAUAGCUGGAAUCAGUACUCCAUAGAUCUUCAGGUACAGAAUCUGUGGGAAUACCUCAAUUGAACAGAAGGAACUGAAAAUGGGAAAGAAAAAAAAACUAAACCCAAAAGAUUAUGGUUCUUUUUGGGACCAGGAAACAAGGAUUCACAUGCAAUUUGCAGUCCUGAAGAUUGUUGUCCACCUGGAUAUGGCUGCAUUGCCAGCACCAAUUUAUGGUGCAUGUUGAUUGAUUCAGAACAAGACAGGGCUUGACUAGAAAGUCUGUCCACAUCUGCUUUCUAAGUGAGCACAUCCUGCAUCUCAGAACUUCUACAUUCAUGAACUCUUCCAAGCCAACACUAUUGUAAAGGGGGCAGAAAUGAGAGAGCUGUGCUACUCUUCUCCUAACAGGGCAAUCCUGGGAGUGAAACCUCUUGUAAAAGCAGCUGGGAUGUUGUCUUGCUUACUGGUUGGUAAAAACUGGGCUUCGUGUUUCCAUAGCGCAAGAUUUGUAGAAGGUAAAAAAUAAAAAAAUAAAAAAAAAAAAGAUGAGGUGCUAUGUCUUGGUGUAUCAUAGAAUUCCUUCAAGUCUGUGUUUUAUUUCAUGUCUAGAUCAAAAUAUUACCUCUCGAGCCUGUGUGCGUGUGGCUUGGUUGCUGGGACACCUGCCAGCCAGGAAUUGGGGAUGCCUGGAAUCAUGUGCUCAGCAGGUGUAAACUGCGUGCAGGCAGAGUUCACCUUCUGUCCUCAGCCCCAGAGGCAGUUCCUCUUCAUUAGUGAGGGAAGAAGAUUAUCGUUGCAACCUGACUGCAUGCCAAAGUUAUGUAUCAUAAGAAGAAAAUCUGUUCAUACAUUCACAAAUAUGUUUUCUCCUGAUCUGUCUAUAGGAAAAUGUCUUCGUGAGGGGAGAGAGAGAGGCAGUGAUCGCAGAGAAGUUGAAAGGAAGCGACAGGCAGAAGCUGGACCUUUGCUGAGAUUUCUUCAAGCAGGAUGCAUGUCCUUGCUGAAGGCUCCGCAAUGUAGAUCCAUUUGUCUUUUUAGCAAUACAGAGAUGAAUGCAACUCCAGUGUAAUUGUGAGUGGUGCACAGCCAUGCUGGCAUCAUGUGGCAAGAGCACGUAUGGCCAUAUUUAACAGGGAAGAGGGAAUGAACAAUGUCCACCUACCACACUCCAGGUAACUCACACCCCCAGUUUUAAGCUUGAUUUGAGCACUUUUACCACUUCCUUUCUGAAAUUCUUUUCCUUGUUCCAAAUGCACCUGUAUCACCUGCACUUGAGAUGCUCUUGAUGGCCCUGAGCUACAGCACCAUCCUCAGAGGCACACUGCAGAAGCAGCAGCAGUGCCCAGAGCACGUCACUCCCUCCCUGCAGCAGCAGAGCCACUAAGAAGGCACUGUGUCAAGCCUUAGCCACAAGCAGCCAGGUCAGAGCCCCUUUAAAGGUGACCUGGGAUGGAAGGAAGUGCAUUUGUCCCUUUUCGAUGGAUAAAAAGACCUAAGAAAAUCCUUUCUUCCUAUGUUUUUCCUUCUUUGUUUCUGCUGAAGGUCUAUGGCGUCUCUUUAACUUCCAGAAGGAUUUUUGAACUAAGCUGAAGUGGGUGAUUUUCUAAUCAUUUUCUAAUGUUACAGCUCUUGUAGCAUUCUCUCCAUUCAGCACUGUCCCACCUGCAGUCAUCCUAAAGGGAAGUUAGGUAUGAGCCUGUCACACUGCUUGAACAAGUACUUACAGAGCACGUUCUGGAGCAGUGCUCCAGCUCCAGUGUGUCCAAAUCCCCUCCUUCACCGAGCUGUCUGUAAUCCUUCAGCCAGCAAACAGGGAUGUUCUGAGCGGAUGCAGAGCACUGUGAUGCACAUGGGAAGUGAUUCUCGUGGCUGCAAACUGCGAGUGCAGGGGCUGGUUUCACUUUCACUCUGGAAAUGGCAUGGGGUUGGUAACGCUUUGUUGAUCGUCUGUAAAAUCUUUCUCCACAUAUAGUAAAAUAGGAAGUUAAACUCU